UUUGAUUUGAACUGUUCGUGAAACCACACAUACUCAAGAGAAUUUACAAGACUAUUAUCCACAAAAUGCAACAGUCUUAUUUUGAUGAAUUGUUGAACCAGAGAAAUGUGAAGACUUACAGACACCUAGACUGUAUAGUCAACAUAACAAUGAUUAGAGAAUCAGACUACAGUGAACAUUACAAUGAUUAGAAAAUCAGACUAGAGUCAACAUUACAAUGAUUAGAGAAUCAGACUAUAGUCAACAUUACAAUGAUUAGAAAAUCAGCCAGCUGCAUUUCAUCAAUCAGUUUAUGAUGAAGCUUUACAGCAUUGGAAAUGAUUACUCAGGGACCAAACAACUGAGCAGAAAGAAGAACCGUAUGACCUUGAAGAGUAAGCAAUGUAUUAAGUAUAUUUGGGGUUACCAAAGAGUAUGGUAAGAACCUCAUCUUAAAUUAUACUUGAUUGCAGCAGUGGGAUGUUACAGUCAUAGACGUUGGAUAGACUCCGUUGUACUAGGCCAGGGAGGGUAGCGCAGAGUUUCCGCAGCACUAUACAAUAGUAGCAAGAUCACUCUACCAUGAGCUUGUUAAAGGGCCCGUUUGAUGAAAGUGACACCAACGUUCUCCACAACACUACAGAUUUGUUUUUGCAGAUGCAGCCGAGAGGAUGUUUCAGUCAUGGACUCAUUUGAUGGAAGUGGCACCAACAUUCUCAAACACUAAUAAUUUACAAAUUUGUUUUUGUUGUAGAUGCAACCUCAGUCAUACACCCUAGAGUUUGGCUAUGUUGUGACAGAAGAAGAGUGGCAUAUAGACUUCUGUAUGUCCAUUUUUAUGGAAGUGACAAAUUACUAAUCUUUCUUCUUAUAUCCAUUUCAGAGUUCUUACAAAGAUGCAUAGAGUUCUUACGAAGAUGUAUAGGUAUGCAGUAUUUAUUAUUUUUGUCUCUGUGUAUUUUUGUCAAUGAGGUAAAACCACAGAACAAAUCAAUCAGAAGUAUUAACUGGUGUAAUUUGAGAACACCCUGGAACACGAGAAAUAUCCUACCUCACAAAAUUUAACAUGAGACAUCUUGUUUUCACCUUUUUUCAAGGAAGCAGCACACACAGUGUAAUCAUGAAGGUAUCCAUGUCCUGGAACAUCUGGGAAUAGCAUAUCUCUAAUAGUAUUUUUACUACUAUCCUCAAAAUUCAAACAAAACAGUCAGAUAUUUUGAUCAACAAGAGGUACA